rnacentral:rRNA from 1 species
GGGUUGUGAGGUUAAGCGACUAAGCGUACACGGUGGAUGCCCUGGCAGUCAGAGGCGAUGAAGGACGUGCUAAUCUGCGAUAAGCGUCGGUAAGGUGAUAUGAACCGUUAUAACCGGCGAUUUCCGAAUGGGGAAACCCAGUGUGUUUCGACACACUAUCAUUAACUGAAUCCAUAGGUUAAUGAGGCGAACCGGGGGAACUGAAACAUCUAAGUACCCCGAGGAAAAGAAAUCAACCGAGAUUCCCCCAGUAGCGGCGAGCGAACGGGGAGCAGCCCAGAGCCUGAAUCAGUGUGUGUGUUAGUGGAAGCGUCUGGAAAGGCGCGCGAUACAGGGUGACAGCCCCGUACACAAAAAUGCACAUGCUGUGAGCUCGAUGAGUAGGGCGGGACACGUGGUAUCCUGUCUGAAUAUGGGGGGACCAUCCUCCAAGGCUAAAUACUCCUGACUGACCGAUAGUGAACCAGUACCGUGAGGGAAAGGCGAAAAGAACCCCGGCGAGGGGAGUGAAAAAGAACCUGAAACCGUGUACGUACAAGCAGUGGGAGCACGCUUAGGCGUGUGACUGCGUACCUUUUGUAUAAUGGGUCAGCGACUUAUAUUCUGUAGCAAGGUUAACCGAAUAGGGGAGCCGAAGGGAAACCGAGUCUUAACUGGGCGUUAAGUUGCAGGGUAUAGACCCGAAACCCGGUGAUCUAGCCAUGGGCAGGUUGAAGGUUGGGUAACACUAACUGGAGGACCGAACCGACUAAUGUUGAAAAAUUAGCGGAUGACUUGUGGCUGGGGGUGAAAGGCCAAUCAAACCGGGAGAUAGCUGGUUCUCCCCGAAAGCUAUUUAGGUAGCGCCUCGUGAAUUCAUCUCCGGGGGUAGAGCACUGUUUCGGCAAGGGGGUCAUCCCGACUUACCAACCCGAUGCAAACUGCGAAUACCGGAGAAUGUUAUCACGGGAGACACACGGCGGGUGCUAACGUCCGUCGUGAAGAGGGAAACAACCCAGACCGCCAGCUAAGGUCCCAAAGUCAUGGUUAAGUGGGAAACGAUGUGGGAAGGCCCAGACAGCCAGGAUGUUGGCUUAGAAGCAGCCAUCAUUUAAAGAAAGCGUAAUAGCUCACUGGUCGAGUCGGCCUGCGCGGAAGAUGUAACGGGGCUAAACCAUGCACCGAAGCUGCGGCAGCGACACUAUGUGUUGUUGGGUAGGGGAGCGUUCUGUAAGCCUGUGAAGGUGUGCUGUGAGGCAUGCUGGAGGUAUCAGAAGUGCGAAUGCUGACAUAAGUAACGAUAAAGCGGGUGAAAAGCCCGCUCGCCGGAAGACCAAGGGUUCCUGUCCAACGUUAAUCGGGGCAGGGUGAGUCGACCCCUAAGGCGAGGCCGAAAGGCGUAGUCGAUGGGAAACAGGUUAAUAUUCCUGUACUUGGUGUUACUGCGAAGGGGGGACGGAGAAGGCUAUGUUGGCCGGGCGACGGUUGUCCCGGUUUAAGCGUGUAGGCUGGUUUUCCAGGCAAAUCCGGAAAAUCAAGGCUGAGGCGUGAUGACGAGGCACUACGGUGCUGAAGCAACAAAUGCCCUGCUUCCAGGAAAAGCCUCUAAGCAUCAGGUAACAUCAAAUCGUACCCCAAACCGACACAGGUGGUCAGGUAGAGAAUACCAAGGCGCUUGAGAGAACUCGGGUGAAGGAACUAGGCAAAAUGGUGCCGUAACUUCGGGAGAAGGCACGCUGAUAUGUAGGUGANNNNNNNNNNNNNNNNNNNNNNNNNNNNNNNNNNNNNNNNNNNNNNNNNNNNNNNNNNNNNNNNNNNNNNNNNNNNNNGCGAAGCUCUUGAUCGAAGCCCCGGUAAACGGCGGCCGUAACUAUAACGGUCCUAAGGUAGCGAAAUUCCUUGUCGGGUAAGUUCCGACCUGCACGAAUGGCGUAAUGAUGGCCAGGCUGUCUCCACCCGAGACUCAGUGAAAUUGAACUCGCUGUGAAGAUGCAGUGUACCCGCGGCAAGACGGAAAGACCCCGUGAACCUUUACUAUAGCUUGACACUGAACAUUGAGCCUUGAUGUGUAGGAUAGGUGGGAGGCUUAGAAGUGUGGACGCCAGUCUGCAUGGAGCCGACCUUGAAAUACCACCCUUUAAUGUUUGAUGUUCUAACGUUGACCCGUAAUCCGGGUUGCGGACAGUGUCUGGUGGGUAGUUUGACUGGGGCGGUCUCCUCCUAAAGAGUAACGGAGGAGCACGAAGGUUGGCUAAUCCUGGUCGGACAUCAGGAGGUUAGUGCAAUGGCAUAAGCCAGCUUGACUGCGAGCGUGACGGCGCGAGCAGGUGCGAAAGCAGGUCAUAGUGAUCCGGUGGUUCUGAAUGGAAGGGCCAUCGCUCAACGGAUAAAAGGUACUCCGGGGAUAACAGGCUGAUACCGCCCAAGAGUUCAUAUCGACGGCGGUGUUUGGCACCUCGAUGUCGGCUCAUCACAUCCUGGGGCUGAAGUAGGUCCCAAGGGUAUGGCUGUUCGCCAUUUAAAGUGGUACGCGAGCUGGGUUUAGAACGUCGUGAGACAGUUCGGUCCCUAUCUGCCGUGGGCGCUGGAGAACUGAGGGGGGCUGCUCCUAGUACGAGAGGACCGGAGUGGACGCAUCACUGGUGUUCGGGUUGUCAUGCCAAUGGCACUGCCCGGUAGCUAAAUGCGGAAGAGAUAAGUGCUGAAAGCAUCUAAGCACGAAACUUGCCCCGAGAUGAGUUCUCCCUGACUCCUUGAGAGUCCUGAAGGAACGUUGAAGACGACGACGUUGAUAGGCCGGGUGUGUAAGCGCAGCGAUGCGUUGAGCUAACCGGUACUAAUGAACCGUGAGGCUUAACCUUACAACGCCGAAGGUGUUU